rnacentral:tRNA from 1 species
UAGCCUAGUGGUUAAGGCUAUGAAUCGCCAAUCCAGAGACGGCGGGUUCGAUUCCCGU